UGAGCGUUACAACGUGGGCGACGAUUCCAUACCACCCACGGUUUUCCACUCGCCCACGGCGCCGGGCGACAUGGCGGCCGUGCGCCUAUCCCCACGCCUCCGCUCGAUUCCCCUCCUGCUCCCCGGUCUCGACCCCGCAGCCGCAGUCCACCGCCGCUGCUCCUGCGGUAGCUCGGCCGCCGCCGCCGCCGCGCGCGCCAUGUCCUCCUCCUCCUCCUCCUCCGCGUCGUCGGCACCCACCCCCUACACGACGCUCGUGGGCCGCGUCCGCUGCGAGCGCGAGAUCAAGCGCAGCAAGUUCAUCGCAGUCGCCGCCUCCGUCCCCGACGAGCGCGCCGCCAUGUCCUUCCUCAACGAGGUCAAGGAUCCUCGUGCCACCCAUAAUUGCUGGGCGUACAAGGUGGGAGAACAGUUCCGUUAUAACGAUGACGGCGAACCUUCAAGCACAGCUGGAAAGCCAAUAUACUCUGCCAUCAUUUCAUCUGGCAUAGAUAUGGUCAUGGUGGUUGUAAUAAGAUAUUUUGGAGGCAUAAAACUGGGAACCGGCGGGCUGGUGAGAGCUUAUGGUGGGGUUGCUGCUGAGUGCCUUAAAGAUGCUCCUACUUGUCUUGUGAAGCCCAAGGCUCGUGUGGGCAUGGAAGUACCAUUUGAUCUCUUGGGCAUGGUCUAUAAUCAGCUGCAGCAUUUCCAUGCCGAAGAUAUUAAACAGGACUAUGACACUGGCAAAGAUGGUACAGUUGUUGUCAUGUUCAAAGUAGAAUAUGAAAAAAUUGAGAGUCUUGGAAGCGCAGUGAAUUCAGCUUGCAGCAGGAAAAUUGAAUUAUUACAAUAAGCAGAGGGGAUAAGAUUGAUUGUAGUUUCAAUGCUUAAUUGGCAGCUAGUAUAGCUUCUGUUUGUUGAGUGUAAGUAUUUGUACAAUCUAAUCCCACCAUGUUUGUUUUGGUCAAUGGCUUAAUGGAAAUUAGUUCAUGUGGGCUUAAAACAACCCGUUGACCUUUCCAAAAGAUAUGUCAUGUGUACUACCAAGCCUUUAAUUCUGCUUUGUUUUAUACUUGGCUCAAUGGCAUGUAGGCACCAGAAGUAUUUACUCCCUAGUCUCACUGUAAUUUCAACUCCAUAUUGGAGUGCCUUUGAUAAACCCAACAUCCACCUCCAAAGAGGUGACUGUUCAUUCCCAACAUUAUAGAUAUAUUAGCUUCACAUGAUGUAUCUUUUUUAAGUUACAAUCAAUGGAACUUAGUGGUGUCCAUUUUUAAACUUUGUUAUUCUGUGUUAGUGCUGUCUUAUGCUAUGAAAAUUUCUGAUGUAUCCAUGUUUGUUAUCACCAGGUUAACAUCAAAUUGGUAUCUUUUGCUUUCAAUGUGUCAGUUUGAUGGAUAAAUCUUCUCUUGCAUCUAUGGCUCAAUGUUUUUUUUUUCUUUCCUUUUUCUGUUCUCAUUGUUUGGAAGUCCAGGAGUAUAUUGUUGCAUGGUUGCAUGUCUGGUGUUUAUUAUUUCUCCUACUAGUCCGAGAUAACCACGGAUUUGUUCAGAAACACUGAAGCUUACAUCUAGCUAAUACUUGCCAUAUAGCAUGUCCUGGUAAAUUACCAUGCCGUGCCUGCUUCUUGUUGGUGUUUAUUUUCUUAAUGCCAUGCCGUCUUUGUUUAGUUUUGUUGAAAGGAAAAUGCUAUCUUUCCUUUCUGUCAAACAAAAGACGAGCAUGGUAGGAAUAGUUGGUAUCAUUCUUUUCUAUCAAACAAGAUAAGAGUAUUUUAGACGUCGUCAUUCUUUUCUGUCAAACAAGAUAAGAGUAUAUUAGAUGUUAUCAUUCUUUUCUGUUGAAAGUUGACACCAUGCUAUGGUUCAAAAAAGGAAUUCAGGAUUCUUAUCUUUUGCAGUAACUUAAACAAACCAAGCAAUGCUUUAUUAACAAACAGGACAGUACAAAAACUUAACUGCAUUCACAAUCAACACCAAAUGCAAGCCAGUAAAACAUCCAACAGAACAAACAUUACAAACACAGUGAUAAUAACUAUGUGUACGAAUCAAGCCCCUGACUAGCAGUCUCAUGCUAUGACGGCCUUCAUGGGCUGGUGGUUUGCGGAGGUGGGGACAUGAAUGGAAUAGGUGGCAUCUGGAACCCAGGAAUGGUAGGGAUAGUUGUUGGUAUUGUGAUCGGAAUGGAUGGAAUGGUAAUUGGAACUGAGGGCAUUGGUGGCAUGGUAACAGGCAAAGUAGGAAUGGUCGGCAUGGUGGUUGGGAUCGCCGGAAUCGGAAGAGAUGGAACUGUGCCAGGGGCGGUUGGUGCCAUGGCGACCUUCGGGAUAGGAAUGAAUGGUAUUGGCGGCAUUGUCAGUUUCGGAACUGCGGGAAUGGAAGGCAUUGGAGGCGGUGUUGUUGGAGCUUCCGGUGUAGAACGCUGAGCUGGUGUGGCCUCUGGUGCAGCUGCCGUGUCCAAAAGAGGACGAGAUGCCGCAGAGCUGCCAUUGAAGGCUGUGAAGGCUAGGAGCAGCACAAGGAGAUGGUGGACACUGGCAGCCAUGGUAAGUUACUCUGUGUGUGCGCUAGGCAGGCCUGCUAUGUUUAUUUGCUCUGUGAUGAUAUCUGUAUCUUUGAGAUACUGGGGCUAUUUGUACCAAGAUGAUAUACUAUGGCCACCACUGGUGGUUGAUCUGAAGUCCUUGGUCUGGUUGUUCACCGCCCAAUGUACUUUGCAGAUGCAGAUAAGGGAGUUGGGAAGUCCUUCGCUUAGCAGAUUGGGUUGAUGGACGGCGGAGUUGCUGGAUUUUCUCUUUGUUCUAAACUUCUGAUGACCAAGAUUGUACACGUAGUAAGUUCGUCAUGGGCUACCAAUUUAUUGUGCAUGAAUGAAACUGCUAAACACGGUCAGGUUUCAGGUUUCGUCCUGCCAGAAAAAAGCAGCUGGGCAUCCGCCCUGCAAAACUCGAAGCAUCUCUGCAGCUUGGUCACUUUACACCUCUAUGUAUACUUUAUCAUAAAUGCCGAAAUGAGACAGUCUGCAGCAUGAGACCAAAAAGACCACAAAACGGAAAAACUGUGGGAAUACCGAGCAAGAAACGUGAACUACUGCAAGGACAUUUUUUAAUAGUCUUUUUUUUUUGAACAGAAGGAUUUCAUUAAUAUGGCAUUAGGCACACUUUACAAAUAGCAGCUCGAGUGGCUGAGCACUCAUUGCUGAUAGCUCAUUACAG
rnacentral:rRNA from 1 species